UGCCAUCUCAGUGAAAGAAGCUGUCAAAGAGUUAGUUAGGGGGAAGUGGUCAGUAUCAGCUGACCGGAAUAGCUUGACUGCCUCUGUAGCCCUGGUGGAGCGGGUGGGGUGGAGCGGGUGGGGUGGGGGGAAGUGGUCAGUAUCAGCUGACCGGAAUAGCUUGACUGCCUCUGUAGCCCUGGUGGAGCGGGUGGGGUGGGGUGGGGUGGAGUGGCGCAGCAUCGAAAGUAAUGCUUUAAAAAACAGGGAGGGGUUGUUUUUCUCUGAAGGCCAUAUCAGCAGUUGCCCAAUCUACAUGGUGUCUGACCACCCACUGUCUCCCUAUUGCUAUGCCCCUGAGCCCUUGGACGCUGCCAUUCCAUCGUUGGAGGAGAGGGGGUCCCUUCCCCGGGUCAGGGGUAUUGAGGAGGGUCGUGACCUGCUGACCUGUGGGCAGUGCAGCCAGGCCUUCCCUCUCGCCCACAUCCUGGCCUUCAUCCAGCACAAACAAGGGGGCUGCCGCUCCCGGAAUCACGCCCCCAACACCCACACCCCUCCCUCUCCAGCCAACCGGACACAGCAACGCGGUGAUGUCACUCAGGUAGAGGCUGGGUUCGUGGA
rnacentral:lncRNA from 13 species